CUAGAACGAUAGGUCAUGCAUGCCUUAUAUAAUUAACCUAUACGUGUAUAAUUCCAACGCAGCACUGUGCGUCGGGCUGCCACUAAAGUAUAUUAAACAAGUAAACGCAAUGGCGAGGUGUAAACAAACUAAUUGAAUUAGAACAAUUAUGUAUACCAAGACAUCUUCAUUCAUCGGAUACACAUUUUAGUAUUCGUUGAUUUCAGUAAUGAAAUUAAAACUUUAAAUUCAAAUAACUGAGUUUUUAACUCUAGAUAGACACAUUAUACGUUCCUCGCAUCUGAGAAAGAACAUUUCUACUCACGUAAAAUGUUUCGGGACUCAUAAGACCAAGCCAUUGUGGUAAAAUUUGCCUUCGAAGUAUCACUGAAAAUAAAUUAAAUCUGUUCGCACAUUCGGUUGGUCUAACGCAAGGCUGCAUAAUAUACUUAACAAUACCCUCUCUUGUUAAGUGAGCAUAAUUUUAUGUUUCUCACUUGUACAUGUCCAUGGACCCAACAACACUUCUGUUGUCUUACAUACAAGAAAUCAUGCUGGAAUAGGCAUACUUAACCCAGUUCCAACAAAUGUAACAGAUGUUGGAUGAUACUAAAAUACAGCAUAGCACAAAGUGGUGAAGAUCCAGUGAACAACAUACUUCAAUGUUUCCAGCAUUUUUGACACAUCAUGUAUAAACACACAAAACACAACGUGCUAGUUUUUAUACAGUACUUAAUACAAAUAAAAAUUAUCAUGUAUUAUAUAAUGGAACCAAUUGUUACAGCCACAUUCAUUCAACUAACUGACCCGAAGGUAUGUUAAAGUGGGGCAUCUAUCCAAAGCUUAGUCAUCACACCAUGUUCAUAUUUAUGUUUUUAAAAGAGCCAAAAAUACGUCACGUGCAAAUAUCCCACUUUCAUUUUUUGCUGCAGGCCAUCAUGUUAGGCGACACCUCUCGUUACAUCCAUUGUGUCAAUGGCAGGUACAAUUUUUAAUGGUUAAAAUACUUAUUUUCAUUUCAUUUUGGACUAGUCUUUGAGAAUGCACUUUUAUGCACCAAACCAUGAAUUAGAAGAAACAAAUUAAAAUACCUCUAAUUAAUAUUACUAACAAGAAGGUCAAAGAUUAAUCACCUCAUCAAAAUUCCUGCCUCAGCCAGGAAUCAAAUCCCAGACAUCCAACCCAUGGGCAUUCACUUUACCUUGGUAAAAGAUAACCUGAUAAUGUAUAAAUUCUGUAAUUGACAUUUUUUAUGUUUCACAUCUUGGUAGCAGCAGUAACUAGAAACUUUCCUGAAUUUCAAAUUCAACAGCUGAUCAUAAUGAAUGAAACCCAGGGGAACCUCUCAAGUAACCCAGGGUCCACAGAACAGUUUGGGAAUCGCUAGUCUACUAGAAGAUUGCACUUUAUAUAUAUCUUCAAGCACUCUGUGUCAAUGACAUACGGUUAUGUAUUAUCUAAUAUGUAAAAAAUUAUUCAUUUCUAAGAUCCAGUUUACAACUUUGGCAGGCUCACAGAUAAUCUUCAUCACAUCUAAAUCUUUAAUAUGUUAAGAAUGUAAUAAAAGACAUGAUGCAUA